CCUACGGGCGGCAGCAGUGAGGAAUAUUGGUCAAUGGCCGCAAGGCUGAACCAGCCAAGCCGCGUGAGGGAGGAAGGCGCAAAGCGUCGCAAACCUCUUUUGCCGGGGGACAAAAGGCCGGACUCGUCCGGUCCUGAGGGUACCCGGAGAAAAAGCAUCGGCUAACUCCGUGCCAGCAGCCGCGGUAAUACGGAGGGUGCGAGCGUUAUCCGGAUUCAUUGGGUUUAAAGGGUGCGCAGGCGGGCGUUUAAGCGGCCGGUGAAAUCGCGGGGCUCAACCCCGCAGAGCGGCGGGAACUGGGGGGCUUGAGUGCGGGGGAGGCAUGCGGAAUGCGCGGUGUAGCGGUGAAAUGCAUAGAUAUCGCGAAGAACCCCGAUUGCGAAGGCAGCGUGCGGUGGCGCUACUGACGCUGAGGCACGAAAGCGCGGGGAUCGAACAGGAUUAGAUACCCGAGUAGUC
rnacentral:rRNA from 1 species